CCCUCCCACAGGCGACAGGUGAGCUCAGAGCAGGGCCAGCCCCUCCCACAGGCGACAGGUGAGCUCAGAGCAGGCCCAGCCCCUCCCACAGGUGACAGGUGAGCUCAGAGCAGGGCCAGCCCCUCCCACAGGUGACAGGUGCACUCAGAGCAGGGCCAGCCCUCCCACAGGCGACAGGUACGCUCAGAG